rnacentral:rRNA from 1 species
UACUCCUACGGGAGGCAGCAGUGGGGAAUUUUGGACAAUGGGCGCAAGCCUGAUCCAGCCAUGCCGGGUGAGUGAUGAAGGCCUUCGGGUUGUAAAGCUCUUUCGGUGAAGACGAUACGGUUAGCGUUAAUAACGGUGAGCUAAUGACGGUACUCACAGAACAAGCACCGGCUAACAACGUGCCAGCAGCCGCGGUAAUAC